UGGAAUGCAACUGUUAUGAUCAGAAGAUGUUCUUGACUGUAGAGGAGAGGAAGAUAGAUAGAUAGAUAGAUAAUGGGCAGGGGUCUGUGAAAAGAUGGGUCAUGAGGGAGGAAAGAGCCCCUCAGGAGAAAGAGGCUGCUGUUGUGUGAAUUAGAUGAGGAAACAAGAUUCAUUUAUUCGAUGAAGAUCUGUUAACUCAGGAAGGGAGAGAGAGAGAGAGAGAAGGGAGGGGAAGAAAGACAGAGGGAAAGAGCGAGUGGAGGAGAGAGAAAGAGAGGAAAAUAAGGGAGAGGAAGAGAGAAAGAAGGAAGAGUGAGGCGCAGGCCUGAACCUGCCAGGGGCCUAAGGGGGACGAGUGGCCAUGGUGGCGGUGGCAGCAACCACUGCUGCUGUUUGGGGCUACCAAAGCUUUUGGCGGAGGGAGGCAGACAGGCAAGGGACAGGCCCAGGCCUGUCAGCGGCCUGAGGGAAAUGAGUGGACAUAACGGUGGUGGCAUCAGUGAGGAAGGACCCAAUCAACUGCUGCUGCUCUCUGCUCCUUUGGGGAGGAGCAGGGCUCAGAUGAGGGUAGGGAGGCCUCUGGGGAUAGGGUGCUGCAGCUGGGUCAAUAGGCAUCAGCAAUGCUGUAACCGUGAUCAAGAGGGGUGAGGGGAAUGGAGUAAAGGGAUGGAGGAGUGACCAAGAGGGGUGAGAGCAAUGGAAGCAAUUGGAUGGAGGAGGAGGAGCAGGAGUGCGUCUCAGAGCAGAAGAUUGUGAACCAAGAUGGCUCUGGGAAGGCCCUUCAGUUUGCAGCUGCAGCAAGGAUACGAUCCACUGGAAAUGCUGACCUGAAUUAUUGGAGAGGCUGUUUCUGUGGGGUGCAGUGCGUACCCUAAGCAUCCGUAGCUUCUUCUGGCUCUUCCUCCAGGGAAAAGGCCUGGAACCUAGGCUAUGUAAUCAGCUGCCAGCAAUAAGAAUAUUUUGAAUAUUAUUGGAGGGCCUGUUUCUCUGGAUUGGCAUCUCUUUCUUCUUCCAGUUUAUUUGAAGUCAUAAGCCUGAUGUACACUUAUCAGAAAUACACACAUUUUUAAGUCCUUUCA